CGGGAAGAGCCAUCACUAGAGCCCACGGGGCGUUCUGCUUGCUUCCCUUCGGACCCACGCUGCUCAGGCCCAGGGAGUCGCCGAGCCGGGAGUUUGCUGGGAUGCUGGGUCUGAUGCCUGCGAGGGGCAGGACGUGGCGAAGGCCAUUCCGCUGCCCUUCCAGCUUCAGAAUCACCCAAUGCACGGGUUUCAACCGUAGCCGGCAAGAUGCGCCUCUCCGGUUUUGCUAGGCUUUGAAGCCUGCACAAUUGUACUACAAAAGGCGAUGGCUCCACCUAACGUUGGAUGGGCGCUUGCUCUGCGUGGUGAUACCAGAGCGCCAGUCUACUGUUCCUGUGUCGUAGUCGGCAAUUCAACCGGUUCCGCAACUGUGCUCGGGGCGCGAGGAAGCCAAGUGGGCUUCACAGGACAGACCUCCUUGGUUUCAGAGAUAUUGUAGCUGUCAACUUGAAACGUUCAGAAAGAAGAUUUCAGCGAUAGAUGAGAAGACUGGAAAUUUCUGGAUCUAAAGCUAACAUGACGUCCACCUCAUCCGGCGCCCUCGUCUCGGAUCCAACUCACCGCGGGCAAACCAUGCCUGGUUCCUAGUGCUUAGCGUGGUUUCAGAUCUCAAUAGAUAUGCCUGGGUUACUUGUGAACGUCACUGAAAAUGGCCCGUGGCCUUGUCCUUCUAUCAGAGUCCAGUAAAAUCCUGGCCAUGGAAUGGAGGGAUGAAAAGUGAGAACCACCAAACUCAGCAAACAAAGACUCAGUUUAAACCUCUGUGCUAAGAGAUGAUCAGACUCUAUCAUGGCUUCUAAUAGCAUAAGACCAUGUCCCGUGAAUUACCCUAGGCUCCCAUGACAAUGCCUACCUAAGAAAACUCAAGGCUGCCAGGGGAACUUACUUUAAUUCUAGCCAAUACCUGCUGAUGAUGGUAGGUUCUUUCUUAUAACACUUACUAAGAAGGGAAUCCUUCCUCCAUCCCUUUAAGAUAUGUGUGUAUCUCCUAGGAAUUCCAGUGUGUCUUUCCACAGAAUUUGAAAGCCAUUCCUUUGAGGUGUCGUCCUCAGGAACGACUGAAUCUCUGUCUCCGGGUCUCUGUGGGAGGUUAGAAUCCUAAUGUCUAAUAUUGCCAGCUGGCAGACACAGCUAUCCUGAUGAGGCAGAAGCUUACAAUGACCAACAUUUUGUAAUGUUUCACUUGUGCCCUGCCCCCUGCCCUAUCCCCUGCCUCACUCUCCAAUUAGAAUGCCAUCGGCUCUCCACAAAUGCGAUGGAGCUCAGCCCCUUCUGCUUUGGUCAGUAGUUACUGAAUAAAAUCUGUUUUCA